GAACGAUUACAGUGUUGCAUUGAGGGGAUUGACUCAUUUACAGGAUUGAGGCUGUUAAUCUGUGCAGCUUGAGUGGGUGCGGAUUUGGGAAAUCAACAACUUCACCUAGCCAGGUUGC